rnacentral:rRNA from 1 species
AUUGAACGCUGGCGGCAUGCCUUACACAUGCAAGUCGAACGGUAACAGGUCUUCGGAUGCUGACGAGUGGCGAACGGGUGAGUAAUACAUCGGAACGUGCCUAGUAGUGGGGGAUAACUACUCGAAAGAGUGGCUAAUACCGCAUGAGAUCUACGGAUGAAAGCAGGGGAUCGCAAGACCUUGUGCUACUAGAGCGGCCGAUGGCAGAUUAGGUAGUUGGUGGGAUAAAAGCUUACCAAGCCGACGAUCUGUAGCUGGUCUGAGAGGACGAUCAGCCACACUGGGACUGGGACACGGCCCAGACUCCUACGGGAGGCAGCAGUGGGGAAUUUUGGACAAUGGGCGCAAGCCUGCUCCAGCAAUGCCGCGUGCAGGAUGAAGGCCUUCGGGUUGUAAACUGCUUUUGUACGGAACGAAAAGCCCUGGGUUAAUACCCUGGGGUCAUGACGGUACCGUAAGAAUAAGCACCGGCUAACUACGUGCCAGCCGCCGCCGUAACAC